rnacentral:rRNA from 1 species
UACGACUACAUAUCAGGCAUAUCAAUAAGCGGAGGAAAAGAAACUAACAAGGAUUCCCCUAGUAACGGCGAGUGAAGCGGGAAGAGCUCAAAUUUGAAAUCUUAAAGGGUUUCCCUUUACGAAUUGUAGUUUAAAGAAGUGUUUUCUGUUGGAGUUUCGGUAAAAGUUCUUUGGAAUAGGACAUCAUAGAGGGUGAGAAUCCCGUAUUUGACCGUUACUUUCCAGCUGUGUGAUACACUUUCAAAGAGUCGGAUUGUUUGGGAAUGCAGUCCAAGAUGGGUGGUAAAUUUCAUCUAAAGCUAAAUAUUGGCGAGAGACCGAUAGCGAACAAGUACCGUGAGGGAAAGAUGGAAAGAACUUUGAAAAGAGAGUUAAACAGUACGUGAAAUUGUCAAAAGGGAAGCGUUUGACACCAGUGUUGUUUAGUUGAAAAUCAAUUCAAUAGUUUUUGAUUCUAAGUAGUAUUGACUUCAUCAGCUUGCUGCUUUCUUCUCAGAAAUUAUUGAAUGCACUUUUCAGUUAACAAGUCAACAUCAAUUUCUUUUGUUGUAAAAGGGUAAGAGGAAGGUGGCUUGCGCUUCGGCUCAAGUGUUUAUAGCCUUUUAUCUCUGCAAUCGGAGAGAUUGAGGUCUGCAGCGUAGAUCCUUCGGGGUUAGAUACAUUGGUGCUAAGCUAUAGCCUUGUAUAGACAACUUGUUGACUAUGCUCAGUCAUGUCAGCUUACUCGCUGAUGCUAUUUUACCUACGCUUAGGAUGUUGAGUAGCGACAUACGCAC